UUGCAAAAAUAAUUAAAGAAGUACUGAAUGCAAUACUGGAAGUAUUACGUUUGUGGGGCACUAAAAUAAGGGCAAUUGUACGGACCAAGGCGAUGUAGGAGUUUACGUUACUCUUAUUUUUACAUUUUCCCGAAACCUUGACCCGGAAGGGCUUUUUUAGUGCUGCUGACGACACACUAAUUACUUUCUGGAUGUACGGUUGUUGUUGCCAUUUCCACAUUUAUUAAUUUUAUUGCAUGUUGAUAUACUGCUGUAUGUUGUUAGAUUUGUUGUUUGUUAUCCAUACAUACAUUUGAUAACAACUUUUCCAUCAUGGACAAACGAGUCAAAGCUUCUGUCAGUACGGGUCCCCCUCUUCCUCUCUCCUCUUUGCGACUAUUGGUUUCUCCCCUGCGGCUGAUGUAUUCAUUUGUAUGGCAUGUGGUGAAUCGACGCAAUGUGAUGCACUAUGGGAAGGUCGAGGAGUUUGUAACUGUGGUGACUGAAGCUGUUCCAAAGUUGCUGAGUUACAAACAGAGGGCUCAACUCAUCCUGGGCCUGAGAGCAAGGAUGAUCUUGGAGAUGUUCCGCAAGGGUUGUCCACCUAACCCUCAGGCCAUCCAAAGUCUCCUGGGAAACAUGAACAUCAGUGCAUCCUCAGGGCAGCAAGAUGUGGAAGUGGAGGAGUCACAGGCUAACUUUGUGUCGCUGGUCCAAACCCUUUUGAAAAACCCUUAUGAGAGGAAGCACUUCUUCCAGGAGGAGUUCUAUACACAGUAUGGCUCGAAGUAUGACACAGCACUGCAGGCCCUUGUGGGAGGCUUGGUUUUCAGACUGGAACAACUGUUAUCUGUGCCAGAUCUCUCCCAGAUAGCAUCUAUGAUCAGUGCUGACCCCUCUGACCUGGAGGAGUGUGGGCAGUCUAUGUCUGACCCUGAGCAGCUGAAGAUCCUCCUCCAUCACCAGAAAUUGCUAAAUAAAACCCAGUUCAACAGAAAUGUACCUCUCACUUCUUCUGUGGGUGACUGUGUGCUGUCCUCACUGUCCUUCCGCCUCGCCUGUGGAAUGCCAUCAAUGGAGCCAGAUUUUGACAAGCCAUCAGAAUCAUUAGAAGCCGCUCUAAGUGUCAUGAACCCUGCCUCCUUCAGUGACCUGGAGGAUUUGGGAAUGAUGUCAGAUGACUCGCCCCAUGCUGGAGAAGAUAGUACUCUGCAGAGAGAAGAGGGUGCCAAGGACAACGGAAGUGGGGCGAAAAAUGCAGUGUGUGAGAGUGAAGAAGACGAUGCACUGCCAGAGAGCCCGUCUAGUCCUCAAGGUGUUAGCGGACUAGUGGGAGGGUCACCAUCAAAAGGGGCACCAACAGUAAGGAGUAUGCUGCCAACAGAGAGACACCAACCGCUUGUAUCACUGAUGAGUAGUUCCUUCACCAAAUCCUCUCCUUCACAGAUAGUCAAAUUAGUCAUCCCUGCCACGGUCACCAUUGGGAACCAACCGGGUAACCCACCGGUCAAAGUAGCGAGUUUCCACCAGUGGGUCUCCCACAUUGCAAGUAACUCGAUCUCGCUCCCUUCCUUGCCACCCCUUCCACAAAACAAUUAUGUAGACCAGGAGAUCCGGUCAGGUGACACAUGUCUUGGAAGCAGUGUGGUAAUUGGGGGUCAGGAAGCAGAAACCAAUCUCUUUGAGAGGGCUGUUAUCCGAAGGAGAUGGGCGCCCAAGCCACAAAGAAUAACGGUACCCUCGAAGAGGAAAAUCCCUGAGGCAACCAUCAUUUGCCAGGAGUGUGGGAAGAGUUUCGUCUAUCCGUCUCAGCUGGAAAAUCACCUCCGCAUUCACACAGGAGAGAAACCGUUCAAGUGCACUGAGUGUGGCAGGGCCUUCAGGUCCUUAGGAGGCAUGACCACUCAUAUGAAAAAUCACUCUGAAGCGCGGCCAUUUAAGUGUGAUGAGUGUGACAAGGGCUUUCGGAAAAAGGCUGACCUGAAGAAGCAUCAGCUCAUCCACAUGGGUGCGAAACCACAUAAAUGCACCAUCUGUGGAAAGGGCUUCAGCCAAGCAUUCUAUUGCAGAAUACACAUCCAGUCUCAUGCAAGUGAAAAUAACUUUCCCUGCACUCAUUGUCCGAAGAGAUUCCCAACCCAAUACAAGCUGUCUGUCCACGAGCGCUGGCACACCAUGGAGCGCCCGUUCAUCUGUGAGCAGUGUGGGAUGCGCUUCUUUCAUCCCAGUGGGCUGAAGAGGCACAUGGGCUAUCACAUUGGGAACCGCCCGUUCCUGUGUGCCCAGUGUGGAAAGACUUUUGUUUAUGAGUUUGACCUGAAGAAACACCAAAGGGACCAUGGCCCCAAGCCCAAGAUCCCAUGCCCUGUCUGCCAGAAGGUGUUUGGCAGCAACGGACUCAUCAAGGCCCACAUGUUUACGCACACCUCUGUAAAACCUUACAGAUGUGACAUAUGCGACAAGACCUUUAAACAGAGCAGCAGCUUGAGCAGUCACAAACGUCUGCACACGGGUGAACGGCCUUACCACUGCGACAUGUGUGGGAAGACGUACAAGCUGAAUCAGCACCUGAAGGAGCACAUAAUUAUCCACCACACGGCGGAAGGGCACCCCUGUGACCAGUGUGGAAAGGUCUUCAAGUUACCACGUCUUCUGAAGGCGCAUGAGCGGUUGCACUCAGGGGAGCGAUCUGAGCAACCAAGGAAAUACAGUCACACCAGCCGUCGCAGGAGAAAUUCCUCCAAAAUGAGUUGAUUUUCUGCACAUUGGCUGCCUUCCACACACACUGACUGGGAUGCUAUUUUUAAUGUCUUGACAAAUUGCCAAUAGCUGUAAUAAUAUUCCUCAUUUUUUGUUGUAGACUUUAGAUUUUGGACCAUUUUGGACCACAAUUCAGGAUAUCCUAAAUAGACUGAACACUGAAAAAUAGUAUAAUGUCUGGCUUAAUUAAUGCAGCAACAAACAUGUCUCCUGUUAGAUAACAAUUCAUGAUUGUGUCAUUAAAACGUAUUUAUUUGUUGUUGUUUUUUUGUAUAGGUUGAAAUUCUAAAGACAUAAGAUGUCAAUUGACAGCUACUCACUAAUCUCUUUCUGAGAGUAGUCAAUGAUUGCCGGAAGCCUUUACAAAAAAUAUGCACAACAUUUGAUGUUGGAUGAAGGCAAAUAGUCACAAUUGUGUGCCACUACUCAUUUGUUUUGCUAUUUUAUUCACAGCAAGGGAAACCAAAUGUAUGCUAGAACGGUUCUGUGUGAUGACUUUUUAUAAUACAUUUAAAGUGUAUUAAGCCACAAAAUAAAAAUUCAUACUCAACCAAAUAUAUACAGAAAAAUUAUGAAAUUUGUGUUUUAAUCUCAAAUGUAAUUUCAAGAAAAGAGCAGCAGGAUUCAAUUGCGGCUCUAAUUCCAGGACGAUAGGUGGCAGUAAUGAUCUUAUGCUGCCAAUCUUAUUGUUAAUAGUCUGGUCAAAACUGUUCUGGUUUUGGUUCCGUUUACAUCUGUUGUCGCCAUUUUCAUAAAUCGUUAGCCAUCCCCAACUUACUAUCUAUCAUGCUAGUUACCUUUACUGUUAGAUUUCUGCCUAUCGUACAUAUUUGGUAACAUUCCGGCAUGGACAAACGAGUCAAGAAGAGGACAGCCAGUACGGCUCCCCCACUUCCUCUCUCCUCUUUGCGACUAUUGGUUUCUCCCCUGCGGCUGAUGUAUUCAUUUGUAUGGCAUGUGGUGAAUCAACGCAAUGUGAUGCACUAUGGGAAGGUCGAGGAGUUUGUAACUGUGGUGACUGAAGCUGUUCCAAAGUUGCUGAGUUACAAACAGAGGGCUCAACUCAUCCUGGGCCUGAGAGCAAGGAUGAUCUUGGAGCUGUUCCGCAAGGACCCACCCAACCUUCAGGACAUCCAACGUCUCCUGGAAAAGAUGAACAUCUUGGGGGUAAGAAUAUUUCUCUCUUGUGUGGAAAUUCCGCCCCAUACCAGGGAACAACUCACACCAGUAACACAGCAUACAAAAAGAUUUAUGUCAAUACCAUUCUCGGACGACUACUUAAAAGAGAGUAACAUUUGCACAUUAGUCUGGUUUGAAAAUAGCCUUUAGCUCUGUGGUGUAAAAAUCUGAGGGUACUGGAUAAGUGUAAACGACAUAAGUGUUAACACCUAGUGGGGGUUGUGGGAGCUUUUGGCCAUCUGUCUUGCUUUGCUGUCACUCAUCUGAUUCCUUAGAUCUGCAAAGGGCAAACAUGGAUGGGGUAAGAGAUAAAAAGUUGUUUUCAGGUUGGACUUAUGACUUCUACAAACCCUGUCACCCCUACACAUCCUGAUUACAGCAGCAAGAUGCAGAAGUGGAGGAGUCGCAGGCUAACUUUGUGGCGCUGGUCCAAACUUUGCUGAAAAACCCUUACGAGAGGAAGCACUUCUUCCAGGUUCAGCACACUUUCUCCCUUUCCUCUCACACUGUCCACUUUGUCAUUUCAAAGACACUGACUUAAACUUAUUGUUUCCUUCCCUGUAGGAGGAGUUCCAUACACAGUAUGGCUCCAAGUAUGACACAGCACUGCAGGCCCUUGUGGGAGGCUUGGUCCUCAAACUGGAACGACUGCUAUCUGUGCCAGAUCUCUCCCAGAUAGCGUCCAUUAUCAGUGCUGCCCCCUCUGACCUGGAGGAGUGUGGACAGUCUGUGUCUGACCCUGAGCACCUGAAGAUCCUCCUCCAGCACCAGAACCUGCUAAAUAAGAAUCAGUUUGUACCUGUCACGACUUCGGUGGGUGACUGUGUGCUGUCCUCGCUGUCCUUCCGCCUCGCUUGUGGAAUGCCAUCAAUGGAGCCGGAUUUUGACGAGCCAUCAGAAUCAUUAGAAGCCGCUCUAAGCGUCAUGAACCCGGCCCCCUUCAGUAACCUCGAGGAUCUGGAAAUGAUGUCAGAUAACUCUGACCGUGCUGGAGAAGAUGAGGAUGUACUGCCAGAGAGUGCCGUGGUCUGCUCUAGUCCUCAAGGUGUUAGCGGACUAGUGGGAGGGGCACCAUCAAAAGGGGCUCCAACAGUAAGGAGUAUGCUGCAAACGAUGAGACAGCAACAGCUUGUAUCACUGAUGAAUACUUCCAUCACUGAAGCCUCUCCUUCACAGAUAGUCAUCCCUGCUACGGAUAACCAGCCGGUCGAGCUAACGAGUGUCGACCAGUGGGUCCCCCAUAUUGCCAGUUACACUUUAUCGCUCCAGUCCUUGCCACCCCUUCCACAAAACGAUCAUUUGGACAAGGAGAUGGAGUCGGCCGACACAGGGCUCGGGAGCAGUGUGGUGAUCGGGGGUCAGGAAACAGAGGUCGAUCUCUUUGAGAGUUCCAUUAUCCAAAGGAAGAGGGUACAAAAGCCACUACGAGUAGCGUGCUCAAAAAAGAGAGAACCUGCAACCAACUCCUGCCAAGAGUGUGGGAAGCGUUUUCUGUCUCGGGGACGGCUGGAGGAUCACCUCCGCAUACACACUGGAGAGAAACCUUUCAAGUGCACCGAUUGUAGCAGGUUCUUCAGGACGUCGGCACUCCUGACCAACCAUAUGAAAAUUCACUCUGAUGUGCGGCCCUUUAGCUGCGACGAGUGCGGCAAAUGCUUUCGGAGAAAGGUUGGCCUUCAGAAUCACCAUCGCGUCCACACGGAUGCUAGACCAUACAAAUGCACCAUAUGUGGAAAGGGCUUCACGCAGGUACAGUACUGCAAACGACACAUGGAUUGUCAUACAAGUGAGAAUACCUAUUUCUGCACUCAUUGUCCGAAGAGCUUCCCAACCCAAUUCCAGCUGUCCUCCCACCAGCGCUGGCACACCACGGACCGCCCGUACGCCUGUGAGCAGUGUGGGUUGCGCUUCUUUAUGCCAAGCUUGUUAAAGAGACACAUGGGCUAUCACAUCGGGAACCGCCAGUUCCUGUGUGCCCAGUGCGGAAGGACCUUUGUCUAUGAGUUUGACCUAAAGAGACACCAAAAAGACCAUGACCCCAGUCCCAAAAUCCCCUGCCCUGUCUGCCAGAAGAUGUUUGGCAACAACAGCCUACUCCAAGCCCACGUACGCAGGCACUCUUCAGAGAAACCUUACAGAUGCGACAUAUGCGACAAGACCUUUAAAGACAGCGGGGGCCUGCGCAUACACAAGCGUGGGCUGCACUCGAACGAACGCCCUUACAGCUGCGACGAGUGUGGGAAGACUUACAAACUACACACGCACCUGAGGGAGCACAAGUUUAAACACACAGGGGAGGGCCACAGCUGUGGCCAGUGUGGAAAAGCCUUCAGGUACCUGCGUCUCCUGAAGUUGCACGAGCGGUCGCACUCCGAGCCAUCUGAGCUCACGCUGCGAAACAGUCACACCAGCCGUCGCAGGAGACAUUCCUCCAAAAGGAGUUGAUUUUCUCACAUGUUCACACCUUUCACUGUGGCUACAGUAAUAUACAACAGUAUUCAACUGUGUCACAAUGUCGUUAGCUGUACGGUCGUUAUGUAUGGCAGCCCAGGGUUCCUCUGUGUUGUCUUAGGAAUGCUGCAUUAUCCCACCAUUCCCCAUUCUGUCAUAUCUCUGUGGUGCAGAGGGGCGACAUGAUGGGGGAUGGUGAGAUAAUUGACUUGAACGGAGAAGAGGGUCUCUGCUGUUCAGGACUGCUGCUCACUGAGUUUAGCUUCCUCCCUCUAUGAUCAGACAUACUGGGACUAUACAAACCCUUAUUACAUGAUACACAGCAUAUCAAGUACAGGGUCUAAAAUCGUUUCAAGUCAUGGAAUGUCAUACAUGGUCUAUUUUGGGAGGUAGCAGCAUUGCAGUCCUAACAGCCAUGCAUACAAGCCGGGUUGUGUGUCUGAAGGCUCCCAGAAAAUCUGUGGACCGGCAAUUGAUAAAGUGAAUCUGUGGAACUAUGUUCAGUGAGGUGUGUUAGGUAAACCAGUGAAACAUCCGCCACUGUCAGGUACAGUAUGCUCUCAAGAGAACAUGGUUUUAAUCUGUCGACUUGGAUCAGGAUUGGGGAUCAAUUACUUUUUAAUUCAGGAUCUUCCUAUUAGAAAAUAAUUUCAGUUACUCCAACCCUGAUUUGGGUAGUGAUUCAGAUUCAGUAUUUAAUAGUCACAUGUACAGGGUUGCAGGUGUGAUUGCGGAUACAGUGAAAAUCUUAGGGUCCAAACUUCAACAGAGUGUAGUUCUUCAAUUUGUGCUUCUUGUUCUAUGUUCUUG